rnacentral:rRNA from 1 species
GCUCAGGACGAACGCUGGCGGCGUGCUUAACACAUGCAAGUCGAACGAUGAAGCCCAGCUUGCUGGGUGGAUUAGUGGCGAACGGGUGAGUAAUACGUGAGUAACCUGCCUUUAACUCUGGGAUAAGCCUUGGAAACGAGGUCUAAUACCGGAUACGACCAGUUCCCGCAUGGGAUGCUGGUGGAAAGGGUUUGUACUGGUUUUAGAUGGGCUCACGGCCUAUCAGCUUGUUGGUGAGGUAACGGCUCACCAAGGCGACGACGGGUAGCCGGCCUGAGAGGGUGACCGGCCACACUGGGACUGAGACACGGCCCAGACUCCUACGGGAGGCAGCAGUGGGGAAUAUUGCACAAUGGGCGCAAGCCUGAUGCAGCGACGCCGCGUGAGGGAUGAAUGCCUUCGGGUUGUAAACCUCUUUCAGCAGGGAAGAAGCGAAAG